rnacentral:tRNA from 1 species
CGAGGUGUAGCGCAGUUGGUAGCGCGCCUGCUUUGGGAGCAGGAUGUCGCAGGUUCGAAUCCUGUCACCUCGACCA